AUUGAACGCUGGCGGCAGGCCUAACACAUGCAAGUCGAGCGAGCGGCGGACGGGUGAGGAAUGUAUGGGGACUGCCCGAUGGAGGGGGAUAACUACUGGAAACGGUAGCUAAUACCACAGACUAUAGGAUAACCUAUAUUGUAUUAGCUAGUAGGUGAGGUAAUGGCUUACCUAGGCGACGAUCCCUAGCUGGUCUGAGAGGAUGAUCAGCCACACUGGGACUGAGACACGGCCCAGACUCCUACGGAGGCAGCAGUGGGGAAUAUUGCACAAUGGGCGCAAGCCUGAUGCAGCCAUGCCGCGUGUAUGAAGAAGGCUCUAGGGUUGUAAAGUACUUUCAGUCGGGAGGCGGUACCGACAGAAGAAGCACCGGCUAACUCCGUGCCAGCAGCCGCGGUAAUUC
rnacentral:rRNA from 1 species